UUUUUGCCAAGCACCGUUCUUGUGCUUUUAGUGAAUUGAUUCAUCUAAUCCUCACAACAAACCCUAUGAAGUGGAUGCUAUUAUUAUGCCUCUUCUCAGAUGAGAGAAAUUCAAGCACAGAAAGAUUCAAAAGCAGCCCAGGAGCGCGCAGCCGGCCAGGGGCAGGGCCAGGAGUCACAUCCAGGAGGUCCAGCUGCAGGAUCUGUGUUCUUGACCAUGAGGUGGGACACGGCUUGAGCUGCCUUGCUUCAGCGAGUUGCCUCAUCAUAUUGUUUUGGCCAGCCGGGGAUAGCACCCAGCCACAUCAUUACUAACUCUUCCACGCCUGGAGGGGUCGUGUACCCCUCACAUUAAUGUGCAACAGGAUCCCAAAUCAGUGACGCUCCUGUGAAGAUACUUACUUGCUCCUUCUCUUCAACUUGCCCCGGACACCGGGAAGUUCAUUGUUCCCCUAAAAGACAGCUGACUGGUUGUUGUUGUUGGCUGGAUCUUCAGCAAGAAAACUCGAGUUGAACACAAGAUCUCCCCGUGUCCGGGUAACCUUCCAGCAUCCUGGCCCGUCAGCCUGGAACAAGCAGGCCUCUGCCGUGUGCUACCCUAGAAGAGACGUAAGUUUCUAGGGACCCAUCACAACAGAAAGCAACAGGCUUCCUUUCUUCUUUGCUCUUUACUAGCAGAGCUGUAGCUGGUGAGAGCUCAGCUUUGACCACUUUUCCUCUCCAAGUCUCCCCGCUUGUAAAGAGUUUUCUCGGUUAAUAAUAGGUUCCUAAGCUGUAACAAAGUGAGAGAGUGGCAUGGACAUAUAUACACUACCAAACGUAAAACAGAUAGCCAGUGGGAAGCAGCCGCAUAGCACAGGGAGAUCAGC